rnacentral:rRNA from 1 species
GACGAACGCUGGCGGCGUGCUUAACACAUGCAAGUCGAACGAGUGGCGAACGGGUGAGUAAUACGUGGGUAACCUGCCCUCUUUUUGGGAUAAGCCUUUGAAACGGGGUCUAAUACCGAAUAAAGGGGGAUGGGCUCGCGGCCUAUCAGCUUGUUGGUGGGGUGAUGGCCUACCAAGGCGGUGACGGGUAGCCGGCCGGAGAGGGUGACUGGAAAUAUUGGGACGGAGAGACGGCCAAGACUCCUACGGGAGGCAGCAGUGGGGGAUAUGGCACAAUGGGCGAAAGCCUGAUGCAGGGACGCCGCGUGGGGGAUGAAGGCGUGCGGGUUGUAAACCGAGGUCGCGAGCGAACGGGUAGGUGGAGAAGAAGCGCCGGCUAACUACGUGCCAGCAGCCGCGGUAAUUC